GCCGGUGUGGCCGAGCGGUUCUAGGCGCUUCAGUCUGAAACUCUGACGGUCGCAGGUUCGAAUCCUGCCUCGGGCA